CUUUCGCUAUAGUCCGAUAAACAAUUUCACGGUUUUCGUGUCCGCCGACCUUUGCCUCCGAUGUGUAUGCAAAUUUUCUUUGCAUUCUUUGUCCCACAGAAUGGAAAGUAACGGAUCAGUUUGUUUUCAAGAUUUUUGUUUCUCAUUCCACGUGCUCGGGGAACGACGAAGAGGCAAUUCUUUUAUCUCGGUUAAUUUUUAAGAAAGAACUUUGGAACGUGCGAGAUUGAGGAUUAGAACGGUCGAAAUCUCGACACUGUUUGAAAUUCUUCAAGAAACUUUUUCCCCUAUUUCUUGGUUUGGAAAAGAAAAGACGAACAAAAAAAGAUGAUUGUUGAAGAUCUUUUUUUUACAACAUCGGGAUAUCAAUAGAAACCUGGAUUUUAUCUUCUAAUUAAUUAUUUAAACUUAUUAUUAGUAAUGGAAUAUUUGUAAAAUAUAUG